UACGGAGGGUGCGAGCGUUGUCCGGAAUCAUUGGGCGUAAAGGGCGCGUAGGUGGCCCGGUCAGUUCGUGGUGAAAGCGCGGGGCUCAACCCUGCGUCGGCCAUGAAUACUGCCGCGGCUGGAGCACUGUAGAGGCAGGCGGAAUUCCGGGUGUAGCGGUGGAAUGCGUAGAUAUCAGGAGGAACACCUGCGGUGUAGACGGCUUACUGGACGGUAACUGACGCUGAGGCACGAAAGCGUGGGUAGCAAACAGG
rnacentral:rRNA from 1 species